AAUAUCGGACAGGUGCUCGAUAGUGACAACACAGUGUUCAAAAUGCUAACGUCGGAGCAGGUUUGAAUUUUCGUGGCGCGGAUCAGCCGGUGAGAUUUCUUCAUGUAGAAUGUCAUCUAAAAUCAGCAAACGAGUGGAUUCCAAAUCGCAAAAGAGAUUAUCUGUGACUUCAAAAUGCCUUGCUAUUGUGUUGUCACCGGACGAAAACGAGUCGGGAAAGACUCCACCAGAAUUGUCAGGGAAAGUAAUUUUGGAUGACUUCAAGCUUCGGAAUAAAACGUGUUAUUGGAACCCGGCACUUGUUGAAAGCAUUCAAAAUCUGGAGUAUAAGGGAUAUGUUGAGCCUGACACACUACUUGUUGGAGGGGAAGAUAUCCACCUUGAAAAUCUUCGAACUGCCUGGGGUCGACGAGUUCUCAAUGAUCCAGCACACUUCAGAAUUACACGGAUAGGAGAUGUUGGCGGUAUUAAGAUGCAGGUGAUUCCGCAGACCCAGUUUAUACCACUUCCAGAGAUCCUGUGUCUUGUGAUCCUUGACCUGAACAGUAAACAGGUGAUGGCCACACUGGACAUCAUCCACACACGCCUCACACAGUGUUUCUGUGACCUCCAGUCACCAGGUGUGCAGGUCCUCUAUGAUACACUGGGUACCCUCAUACGCCAACGAAAGGUCUUCCACAAUGGGAGUGGCUAUUUUGUGGUGACCCCUGACACAUACCGCCUGCCAACAGAUGAUCCCCAGCAGACGUAUCCAAUGAGCUGGAUGCAUUAUAACCCUAUGUACAUUCCGGUCCCAGCCAACCAACCAAAGGCCCUGCUGACACGCUCUAUAUCCUGUCAAGUCAGCUUAGUCAACCAGCCUCAAACUAUUCCUCAGACUCCACCUACACAGGCUCCACCUACACAGGCUCCACCUACACAGGCUCCACACACUCAGGUUAUACCCACUCAGGGCACACCAACAGAGGAGUCCAAACCAAGGGAGGAGAUCUAUACUGAUGGGACAGAGAUAUUACAGUCUGUAGCCAAUGAUAAACCUCGACUUGGCCGUAGUUGGAGUGUCAGACGUACAAAGAACAGGCCCAGUAAAGAGGAGCGCGACAACACUAAGUCAGUCAGCAGGUGUUCCUCCAUGAGGGGGGAUCGCGGAUGUCGAGGUGGAGAAAACCGUGACCUUAACCUUGCCAAUAGUAACCUAAACAAGGUUAAAGACAAAGGUGAGAAGAAAUCUUUGCUGUCAAAGUUAUUCGGCCGUAAAAAGAAAAAGAAAUCUGAGAAACAGCAGCAGCAACAGGAGGACAAGAAGGUUGAGUCUCCAGCCACAACAACAGCCAGCAGUGGGGAGUACGCCACAUUCUCAGCACAGUUCCCUCCCCCUGAGUGGCAGUGGUACCAGGAACAGAUGGAAAAACAGGAACGGACAACCUCCUGGCUCCAUCAGCAGAAACAUCCUGACCAGGAGGGUCACAGCCAGAUAACAGAUCACGUCAGAGGUCAACAUGGGAAACAAGUCCCCUUCAUCAACAAACAGGAUGGGUCAAGCUCUUCCGAUUAUAUUUGUCCUCAACAGCUGUUUCCAAGACAACAGAUAUAUGAAGCAAGGAGGCAACAACAGAAAAUAGUGAAUCCGUCCAAACUCAGUCCAUUCACAGAGCAAGAGGAGGAACAUUACUGCCAGAUAGAUCCCAGGUUUGAGGAAAGUUUACGCAAUCUCAGAGCCUCCACACUGCCACCUGAAGGCUACUAUGAUGGAAACUUAAUGGACAAAAAAAGUGAAUUUAAUCAUGGAUGCCAGAAGACCUCUGACAAGGCAGCCACAUUGCCUGUACAUUUACCCCAGAACACAGAGGAGAAUCAUCACAUUCACAGGAGACAUUCUGAGAGUCAUGGUCACCGCCGGCGACACGAGGUUAGUGACCGGGUCAGAGUUCGUCCUCACUCAGGAGACAGGAAACAGUUGUUGGUUCAGGCUGACCAGUGCUAUAAUUACAGUCAGGAAAGUGAGGAGACAGUUUCCCCAAACCAGCCUUCAUUUCCAUAUCAUUCUCAGCAGAAACAUACAGAUCAUGGCAUCAGUGACCCAUUGCACAGUUCUACCCCUCGUGGACUUCAGAAGGAUCCAGGAGAGACUGUUCAUAACAAUACUGUUGAUGACCUCUUCAAUGACAAAAUUCAGGGACGUGUACACAGAAGUAGAAAAUCUAGUCGACACAGACAUCGCCAUAGCAUUGCUUAUCAAAGUAACUAUCCUAAAAACGAUAUCAGCUACGAAUACCAUGGAAAACUGCCCAGGAAAAGCUCAAAUAAGGCCUUGUCUAGGGACAGUGGUGUAAAUUGUAUAGGCUUAAGUCAAGGUCAAAGUAAGACUAAAGGUCAUGUCAAGGAAGGACGUUCAACACCUUUAGAGUGCAUUACAAAACAAAGUCACGCAGAGGGUAAGAAACAACUGAGAAAUCCAAAACAGAACAACACUGAUGCAAGACAGGCUGACAAAAAACACAGCAAUAUCAGUAAUGAGGUUAUUUGUGUGGCAGAGAUCAACAGUUGUGUGCCGCCUGAGGCAAGAGAGAUUACUCCAGCAACAGCAGUUACUCCCCCUGAUGAGUUUGUGCCAUAUAGUGUGCAGGAGGAAGAUGAGGGUAUGGAAGGGGAUGUGGACAGCUUUAUUGAGGAAAGUGAACAGAGUUACGAUACAGUUAUAGACUCUCGAACGAGAAACAGCAAACGUAUAUCAGACUUGUGUGAUCAAACCAAAAAUAUCAACCUAGGGGACAGCGGCUUUAGCUCGCCACGAAAUUACGACAGUUUGCAAGACAACCAGGCGAGAAUAAAAGUAAGAUGUGAGGAGGGCUCAUAUCAAAGUUCAUCAUCUGGGGGGAGACAACCCAAACAAUCACAGAUAGUGCAGGAUUCAGUGAAGUGUCAUUCUAAAGAUCCCUCACUUUAUGAGAGAUCUGACCUAAUAGUGCUAAAUAACAUGAAGGAUGUUCACAGAGACCAGAACCUGCUUUCUAACCAUGUGAUGAACCAGGUGUCGCUUUACCCGUCAAAUCAGACAUCGCUUCCACCCGAGGCUGUACGGCUUGGUAAUAAGUCUCCAGUCCCCUUCAACUUCCAUUUUGAUGGCGACUACCAAGUUGUAGGGGUGGUAUAGGACAUUUUAACCAUUUUUGUUCUUAAAGUUAUUAUAGUUGUUUGUUUUAUCCAUGUUUUAUUGAGAACCUACAAUGUAUGUAUAGACAAGUUAUGUGUGAAAAAUUUCAGUUACAACAGAACAUAUAUUUAGUGCCUUAUGUGACUUGUUAGUCUAGGUAAAAUGUGAAUCUGUCCAGUUGAGCUGUAUGAUUGGAAUAAUGACUUUCAGUAAACAAAAUAUUGUGACCUUCUGUGGAGGGGGAAUUCCCCAGCAUUGAAGGUCAUUACUGAUUUGUACUUAACAAAUUUGAAAAUACCAAUGGGUUGUUCCUCAGGUAUUAUCCCAUUGUCAGAGGCAACAAAGGGUUGUUCCUCAGGUAUUAUCCCAUUGUCAGAGGCAACAAAGAGUUGUUUCCUUUGUCAUAGCUCAAUUCUUUGGAAUUCCAUUGGUUAUUUUUUUAACUUCAUUAAAAAAUGGCAUACCAGGAAUUUCUUUUUACAUGUAAGACCAGAGUUUUAACCUCUAUGUAUACUAUACUCCACCAAAAGAAUAGUGGAAUUGUUUUUAGGCAAGUGAAGAGGAAUAUAGACUUUUUUAAGGAAAUAAUAGGAUAAUUUUAAUUCACAAAACCUCGACAGUGAUCGUUGUGUGUGUUAUAUUAUUAUAAUUUAGUAACUCGUCUGUGCCUACAAAUAUUGUUACAGUUGUAACCUUUGUACAUAGUAAUUUAUUUCACUCUGGACAUCAACGUCUCAGUCUAGUGCAAUUAUUUUUUCUAUAAUGUAUAGUUAGGUGUAAUGAAUGCUGUGUCAAAAUUAUCUCCCCAUGUAAUGGUGUCGAUGUAUGCCAUAUAUUACACUUGCAUUUAAGGACCGAGAAUAAUGGAAUUUACAACUGGUAAAUAUUCUUACACAGAUUUAGAUGAUUCCAUUGUAUGCUCAAUCAAAGUUUUAUUUGAAAUUUGAAAUAUCUCAAAUGGCAGCAUGAUUAUUUUCAAAAAAUAUUACUUUUCAUCUCUAUGAGUAAUUCAGUGACUCUAUGAGUGACCAAAUACAAUGCACAAUAUUUUAUCAUUGUUUUUUUCUAUGAGUAAUUCAGUGACUCUAUGAGUGACCAACUACAAUGUACAAUAUUUUAUCAUUGUUUUUUUUCAUAUUCAAUAAGCGACCCAGAUAGUGUGCAAUGUCAUCCAUCACAUUAAUAGUUGAGCAAUAUCACGUUUAUUAGCAGGACGAUAUCUUAGUGUUCAGUACCAAUGUCACACCAAUGCCAUAUCCAGGACUCUGGAAGUUUACACAAUUAGUUCUUUUAACAGUAUGUUUGUAAAUGUGCUCAGUAUUUAGGUUUUAACAAGUACAAGGCAGCUCCUAUUGCAGUUCUUACAACUGAUUCUCAUCCAUUAUAUAGAAUUAAAGCUUAGGACUUCUCAUCCAUUAUAUAGAAUUGAAGCUUAGGACUUCUCAUCCAUUAUAUAGAAUUGAAGCUUAGGACUGGAAUCUGUUUUCUUCCUUAUUUCAGAGGUUGAAAUUUAGGUUUUUUAUUUUCUUUUAAAUGUCAAAUUUUACCAAAUUAUUGAUGUUUUAUGUUGGAUUCUUAGAGACAAGAUAAAACCAUUCCAAUGCCAGUAUUUAUAAGUUGUACAACACCACAAGAUAGUGAAGAUUUAUAGAUUUCCCCCUAAAUAUUGAAUUGAAAUUAAAAACAAAUAUAUUUCAAUUGAAA
rnacentral:misc_RNA from 1 species